rnacentral:rRNA from 1 species
GACGAACGCUGGCGGCGUGCUUAACACAUGCAAGUCGAACGGAAAGGCCCUGCUUUUGUGGGGUGCUCGAGUGGCGAACGGGUGAGUAACACGUGAGUAACCUGCCCUUGACUUUGGGAUAACUUCAGGAAACUGGGGCUAAUACCGGAUAGGAGCUCCUGCUGCAUGGUGGGGGUUGGAAAGUUUCGGCGGUUGGGGAUGGACUCGCGGCUUAUCAGCUUGUUGGUGGGGUAGUGGCUUACCAAGGCUUUGACGGGUAGCCGGCCUGAGAGGGUGACCGGGCACAUUGGGACUGAGAUACGGCCCAGACUGCAACGGGAGGCAGCAGUGGGGAAUAUUGCACAAUGGGCGGAAGCCUGAUGCAGCAACGCCGCGUGCGGGAUGACGGCCUUCGGGUUGUAAACCGCUUUCGCCUGUGACGAAGCGUGAGUGACGGUAAUGGGUAAAGAAGCACCGGCUAACUACGUG